AUGGCUGCCCUCAGACCCCUGGUGAAACCCAAGAUUGUCGAAAAGAGGAUCAAGAAGUUCAUCCAGCACCAGUCAGACCGAUAUGUCAAGAUUAAGUAUAACUGGUGGAAGCCCAGAGGUACUGACAACAGGGUGCGUAGAAGAUUCAAGGGCCAGAUCUUGAUGCCCAACAAUGAUUACGGGAGCAACAAGAAAACAAAGCACAUGCUGCCUAGUGGCUUCCAGAAGUUCCUGGUCCACAAUGUCAAGGAGCUGGAGGUGCUGCUGAUGUGCAACAAAUCUUAUUGUGCUGAGAUUGCUCACGUUUCCUCCAAGAACCGCAAAGCCAUUGUAGAAAGAGCAGUCCAGCUGGCCAUCAGAGUGACCAAUCCUAAUGCCAGGCUGCACAGUGAAGAAAAUGAAUAGACAGCUUGUGCACGUUUUGUGUUUAAAUAAAACCAUAAAAACUGAGAAAAAAAGAAAGAAAAAUACAUUUCUUCAUGUAGUAAUUUCAGAAAACUAAAUCUGAAUGAUUCAAGAUGAAAAGUAUCUGCUUAAGCUCUUAAGUCUGAUAAAUGCAAUAAUAGUCACAUGACACAGUUUUGUACGCUGCAAACAUUUUAAUGAUUAUUGUUGAGCAUACAUUUUGGAAAUUUUUUACUUCAAACUGCAACAAGUUAAAUAAAUGUUUAUAAUAUACAAAGAAAAUACAACCAAAAGGAAAACUUGCUUUAAGUGUGCCUUGUACCUAGACCAGUGUUUUCCCCACUUAAUAUAUCUUUUUUUUUCAGCUGCACAAACACACUUAAGAAUUUGAUCUUUAUAGUAUGGCAUUUAGGAAAUAAAAAUAUACUCCCACCUCAAAGAAAUAAAAGGGUUGUGCAUGAUUAUAUGCCAAACAAAAGAGAGAACACUAGAAUACUCUGAUAGUGCAGGCAUCAUUAAAAA